CAAACUACUUGAUUUCUUAUUUUUUUCAUCUGGGUUUGCGUUAGCUUUCGAGUUUUAGGUCUUGAAUCUGAUUUGAAGUUGAAUUGUGUACUGUAAUGAUUGUGAUUCUUAAUGGGUUAAUGGGCUAGAUCUUGCUCCCUUUUGCUGGCUUGCUCUUUUGAAUUGUGGUUUCUGGAUUUAUUGGAUUUUGGGGUUCUGGAUCUUCUUUGUUUUUAGUUCUACUUGAUGAGUUGCUGAUUUUCUAUAUGGUUUGUUCUUACUUCGUCCUUGGAUUCUCUCCUAAGGCGAUUGCUGCGAUUAUAUUUGUUUGUAUCUGUAUGGAUUUGAAUGAAUGAGAUGCGAUGGGGAUUGUUGUGAGUGUAACUCCUGAGAGAGAUUUUGUGGGCAAGGAGAGAUAUCUUCUGAGUGUGAGCCGGGCACUCUCAAUUGCGUCUGGGAUUUGCUAUGUUAGAAGGAUUUUGAUGGCCAGCUAACAUUUUUCUUAAGUUGAAGCUUGCAAAAUAGGGAGUUUCAUGUUUGAUCUUUCAAGAAUGUGCUUAUGUUUUUUGGGCUGGUGUUUCAGAAAUUGAUUGG